UGAGUAACCUGCCCUUAACUCUGGGAUAAGCCUGGGAAACUGGGUCUAAUACCGGAUAUGACUCCUCAUCGCAUGGUGGGGGGUGGAAAGCUUUUUUGUGGUUUUGGAUGGACUCGCGGUCUAUCAGCUUGUUGGUGAGGUAAUGGCUCACCAAGGCGACGACGGGUAGCCGCCUGAGAGGGUGACCGGCCACACUGGGACUGAGACACGGCCCAGACCUCCUACGGGAGCAG
rnacentral:rRNA from 1 species